rnacentral:rRNA from 1 species
GAUGAACGCUAGCGAUAGGCCUAACACAUGCAAGUCGAGGGGCAGCAUAGAGUAGCAAUACUUUGAUGGCGACCGGCGCACGGGUGAGUAACACGUAUGCAACCUACCUACAUCAGGGGAAUAACCCGGAGAAAUUCGGACUAAUACCGCAUAAUACAGGGAUGCCGCAUGGCAAUAUUUGUUAAAGAUUUAUCGGAUGUAGAUGGGCAUGCGUUCCAUUAGCUUGUUGGUGAGGUAACGGCUCACCAAGGCAACGAUGGAUAGGGGAACUGAGAGGUUUGUCCCCCAAACUGGAACUGAGACACGGACCAGACUCCUACGGGAGGCAGCAGUGAGGAAUAUUGGUCAAUGGACGAGAGUCUGAACCAGCCAAAUCGCGUGAAGGAAGACUGCCCUACGGGUUGUAAACUUCUUUUGUACAGGAAUAAAAGACAUUACGUGUAAUGUAUUGCAUGUACUGUACGAAUAAGCGUCGGCUAACUUCGUGCCAGCCGCCGCCGUAA